rnacentral:rRNA from 1 species
UUCCAGACUCCUACGGGAGGCAGCAGUGAGGAAUAUUGGUCAAUGGGCGGAAGCCUGAACCAGCCAAGUCGCGUGAGGGAAUAAGGCCCUACGGGUCGUAAACCUCUUUUGCCGGGGAGCAAGGGCGGGGACGUGUCCCGGCCCGGAGAGUACCCGGAGAAAAAGCAUCGGCUAACUCCGUGCCAGCAGCCGCGGUAAUACGGAGGAUGCGAGCGUUAUCCGGAUUUAUUGGGUUUAAAGGGUGCGUAGGCGGGCUUUUAAGUCAGCUGUGAAAGUCCGCGGCUCAACCGUGGAAUUGCAGUUGAAACUGGAGGCCUUGAGUGCACACAGGGAUGCCGGAAUUCAUGGUGUAGCGGUGAAAUGCUUAGAUAUCAUGAAGAACUCCGAUUGCGAAGGCAGCAUGCCGGCUCCACACUGACGCUGAGGCACGAAAGCGUGGGUAUCGAACAGGAUUAGAUACCCUAGUA